GACGGGUUAGUAACGCGUGGGAAUAUGCCCAGAUCUAAGGAAUAGCCACUGGAAACGGUGAGUAAUACCUUAUACGCCCUUCGGGGGAAAGAUUUAUCGGUGACGGAUUAGCCCGCGUUAGAUUAGAUAGUUGGUGGGGUAAUGGCCUACCAAGUCUACGAUCUAUAGCUGGUUUUAGAGGAUGAUCAGCAACACUGGGACUGAGACACGGCCCAGACUCCUACGGGAGGCAGCAGUGGGGAAUCUUGGACAAUGGGCGCAAGCCUGAUCCAGCCAUGCCGCGUGAGUGAUGAAGGCCUUAGGGUCGUAAAGCUCUUUCGCCAGGGAUGAUAAUGACAGUACCUGGUAAAGAAACCCCGGCUAACUCCGUGCCAGCAGCCGCGGUAAUACGGAGGGGGUUAGCGUUGUUCGGAAUUACUGGGCGUAAAGCGCGCGUAGGCGGGUUGUUAAGUUAGAGGUGAAAUCCCGGGGCUCAACCCCGGAACUGCCUUUAAUACUGGCAACCUAGAGUUCGAGAGAGGUGAGUGGAAUUCCGAGUGUAGAGGUGAAAUUCGUAGAUAUUCGGAGGAACACCAGUGGCGAAGGCGGCUCACUGGCUCGAUACUGACGCUGAGGUGCGAAAGUGUGGGGAGCAAACAGGAUUAGAUACCCUGGUAGUCCACACCGUAAACGAUGAAUGCCAGUCGUCGGGU
rnacentral:rRNA from 1 species